UACAGCCAUAUCACAUUGGACCACUGGUUCUCGUAUGAUCACUAAAGUUAAACAUUAUCAAGCCUGGUCAUUACCUAGAUGGGUGACCACUUAGGAAUGCCAAGUGCUGUAAG